rnacentral:misc_RNA from 1 species
GAUGAAGAACGUAGCGAAAUGCGAUACGUAAUGUGAAUUGCAGAAUUCAGUGAAUCAUCGAAUCUUUGAACGCAUAUUGCGCUCUCUGGUAUUCCGGAGAGCAUGCUUGUUUGAGUAUCAGUAAACACCUCAACUUCCAUAUCUUUUUUGAAAUGGGAGUUGGACUUGAGUGAUCCCAACGCUUUUCCUCACCGAAAAGUGGCGGGUUACUUGAAAUGCAGGGGCAGCUGGACUUUUCUCUGAGCUAUAAGCAUAUCUAUUUAGUCUGCCUAAAAAACAGAUUAUUACCUUUGCUGCAGCUAACAUAAAGGAGAUUAGUUCUUGUGCUGACUGAUGCAGGAUUCACAAAGACGGCUUCGGCCGACUUUGUAAACUCGAUCUCAAAUCAAGUAAGACUACCCGCUGAACUUAAGCAUAUCAAUAAGCGGAGGA